UAAAAAAAAGGGAAUGGUGUCUCCCUUACCCAACCGCCCUAAAAAGCUGAUGGCGCCUGAUUAAAA
rnacentral:ncRNA from 2 species